AGCAGCCGCGGUAAAUUCCAGCUCCAAUAGCGUAUAUUAAAGUUGUUGCAGUUAAAAGCCGUAGUUGAACCUUUGGCCUGGCUGGCAGGUCCGCCUCACCGCGUGCACUUGUCCGGCCGGCCUUUUCUUCUGGAGAACCGCAUGCCCUUCACUGGGUGUGUUGGGGACCAGGACUUUACUUUGAAAAAAUUAGAGUGUUCAAAGCAGGCCUUUGCUCGAAUAUGUUAGCAUGGAAUAUAGAAUAGGACGUGCGGUCCUAUUUUGUUGGUUUCU
rnacentral:rRNA from 1 species